GAGGAUAGAGCUCAGUCGUGGAGCACAUGCUUAGCAUGCAUGAGGUCCUGGGUACAAUCCCCAGUAUCACCA
rnacentral:tRNA from 1 species